CUUCGUUUGGAGGAAGGUAGGGUUUGUUCUAACGCUUUGCACAAAGGCGGGAAACGGUCAUCAAAGCUGUUGCGAAGGGAAGAGCCAAUGCAUUAAUUCGAUCCAAGAGGACUCGCCUCGUUGGAUUUGCAGCAACCUAAUCUCUCGCUCAGGAAGAAAACGCCACGAUAAAGAGUUUUCUGUCCUCCUUGUUUGCACGGAGCAGCAAACGCAGAGACAAAAGAAACGGGCCCCGACUGGGGCUCACUCUGUCCCCCAGGCCGGAGUGCAGUGGCGCGACCACAGCCUUCUGCAGCCUCAGCUUCCGUGCUCAAGGGACGCGCCCGCCUCAGCCUCCCAACAUGCUGGGAUUACGGGCGUGAGCCACCGCCCGGGAACAACUUAAUUAAAAAAAAAAAAGCCAUACGGUUGCCUCGAGGUAUUUUGGUAUGCGGUGCUUGGUGCUUCCAGACUAACACAUGAGGCCCCAACCUUGGUUUUCAGACCUGGCUUCUGCCCAGAGCCCCAAGCCAUGUCAGACCAGGGCGUUUCCCAGGCGGUCCCGGGUCCGCAGUGCAGGGUGGCGCUGGGGGCGAGGGGGACGACGAGCGCGGGGUGGGCACGGUGCGGCCGGGGGGCUGGGGAGGCGCACGGGGCGGGGUGCAGCUCCAGGGACCUGGUCAGCACCCUUUACCAGUCCUAUUUCUUGGUUUUCUGGACGUUCUUCUCUCCUUGGAGCUGCUCUUGUCUUUCCCAUUUCAUCUCCAAACCGAUUUUGAUUUCCUGAACGUUUGUCUUGAGCAAGGCCUGCGUUAUCUUAGGUAAUCCUCCUAGCAGCCUUUGAUAUGGAAGCUCUUUCUACUCACACUGGCGCUCAGCAAGAGUAAUUUGUUCAUGGGGUAGAGCCUGGUUGGAAUCGAGGGCACGUAAGUUUCCACUAGACAUUGAGGUUCUCAGAUAGUCCUCCAGCCAGGCAGCAUCUCCAAUGUCGGGGAGCUCGUUGGAAAUGCCAGUGUUAGGAGUCUAUCCCGGACCUUCUAAAUGGGAAAUUCUGAGGACGGUGGCGGGUGGGGCCCGAGAAGCUGUGAUUACUAGGCAGCAAGGUGAUUCCGAGGCACACUGAAGACCCCUUUCCCUCACAGCCCUUCUCAGGGUAAGGAAAGGGAGACUUGUCUUUAUUGAGUGCUGAUUCCAUGGCAUUUUGCAUAAUUCUGUGAUGUAAUCCUCCCUACCACUCUUUUAUAGAAGAGGAAACUGUAGCUCAAACUUUCCAUGAAUUUAGAGUGCCAAUAUUUAUGUAAAAUGAUACGAUUGUAUGUGCCUUUUGCUUGUACCAUGUAUGCAUAAAAUAUCUCUGGAAGAAUA